GCUUGCCUUGGUUCGGUCAGCGGCGGACGGGUGAGUAACACGUGGGCAACCUGCCCGCAAGACCGGGAUAACUCCGGGAAACCGGAGCUAAUACCGGAUAACACCGAAGACCGCAUGGUCUUCGGUUGAAAGGCGGCCUUUGGGCUGUCACUUGCGGAUGGGCCCGCGGCGCAUUAGCUAGUUGGUGAGGUAACGGCUCACCAAGGCGACGAUGCGUAGCCGGCCUGAGAGGGUGACCGGCCACACUGGGACUGAGACACGGCCCAGACUCCUACGGGAGGCAGCAGUAGGGAAUCUUCCGCAAUGGGCGAAAGCCUGACGGAGCGACGCCGCGUGAGCGAAGAAGGCCUUCGGGUCGUAAAGCUCUGUUGUGAGGGACGAAGGAGCGCCGUUUGAAGAAGGCGGCGCGGUGACGGUACCUCACGAGAAAGCCCCGGCUAACUACGUGCCAGCAGCCGCGGUAAUACGUAGGGGGCGAGCGUUGUCCGGAAUUAUUGGGCGUAAAGCGCGCGCAGGCGGUCUCUUAAGUCUGAUGUGAAAGCCCACGGCUCAACCGUGGAGGGUCAUUGGAAACUGGGGGACUUGAGGGCAGGAGAGGAGAGCGGAAUUCCACGUGUAGCGGUGAAAUGCGUAGAGAUGUGGAGGAACACCAGUGGCGAAGGCGGCUCUCUGGCCUGCACCUGACGCUGAGGCGCGAAAGCGUGGGGAGCAAACAGGAUUAGAUACCCUGGUAGUCCACGCCGUAAACGAUGAGUGCUAAGUGUUAGAGGGGUCACACCCUUUAGUGCUGCAGCUAACGCGAUAAGCACUCCGCCUGGGGGAGUACGGCCGCAAGGCUGAAACUCAAAGGAAUUGACGGGGGCCCGCACAAGCGGUGGAAGCAUGUGGUUUAAUUCGAAGCAACGCGAAGAACCUUACCAGGUCUUGACAUCCCCUGACACCCAAGAGAUUGGGCGUUCCCCUUCGGGGGGACAGGGUGACAGGUGGUGCAUGGUUGUCGUCAGCUCGUGUCGUGAGAUGUUUGGGUUAAGUCCCGCAACGAGCGCAACCCUCGCCUCUAGUUGCCAGCAUUCGGUUGGGCACUCUAAAAGGACUGCCGGGACAAUUCGA
rnacentral:rRNA from 1 species